UUCACCGCUCAAGUCUCUUCCGACUUGGUGUUGGGACCUGCCCGAGCAUCACGUUUCGGGCAGUCCCUAAAUGCAGUGGCGGCCCUCAGUGCGGCUCCUCCUUAGCGCAGUAGAGUAAUUGCACUACGCUUCGGGACGCCUGGGUGCCUGCCGUAAAACCGCAGACUUUUCCCGAGUCGCACCUCUCUA
rnacentral:misc_RNA from 1 species